AGUUUGAUCCUGGCUCAGAAUGAACGCUGGCGGCGUGCUUAACACAUGCAAGUCGUACGAGAACUCUUUAGCUUGCUAAAGAUAGUAAAGUGGCGCACGGGUGAGUAACGCGUGGGUAAUCUACCUCCGAAUCGGGGAUAACCCGCCGAAAGGCGAGCUAAUACCGGAUAAUAUCUAUAAAAUUUCGGUUUUAAAGAUCAAAGGUGGUCUCUACAUGUAAGCUACUGUUUGGAGAUGAGCCCGCGUACCAUUAGCUUGUUGGUAGGGUAAUGGCCUACCAAGGCUUCGAUGGUUAGCUGGUCUGAGAGGAUGAUCAGCCACACUGGAACUGACACACGGUCCAGACUCCUACGGGAGGCAGCAGUGAGGAAUUUUGCGCAAUGGGGGAAACCCUGACGCAGCAACGCCGCGUGAGUGAUGAAGGCUUUCGGGUCGUAAAGCUCUGUCAAGUGGGAAGAACAUGCUUGAUGCUAAUACCAUCUUGCACUACGGUACCACUGAAGGAAGCACCGGCUAACUCCGUGCCAGCAGCCGCGGUAAUACGGGGGGUGCAAGCGUUAUUCGGAAUUAUUGGGCGUAAAGGGCGCGUAGGCGGUCUCUUAAGUCAGAUGUGAAAGCCCGGGGCUUAACCCCGGAAGUGCAUUUGAAACUAAGGGACUUGAGUAUGGGAGAGGGAAGUGGAAUUCCUGGUGUAGAGGUGAAAUUCGUAGAUAUCAGGAGGAACACCGGUGGCGAAGGCGACUUCCUGGACCAAUACUGACGCUGAGGCGCGAAGGCGUGGGAGCAAACAGGAUUAGAUACCCUGGUAGUCCACGCAGUAAACGGUGAACACUAGGUGUAGCGGGUAUUGACCCCUGCUGUGCCGUAGCUAACGCAUUAAGUGUUCCGCCUGGGGAGUACGGUCGCAAGAUUAAAACUCAAAGGAAUUGACGGGGGCCCGCACAAGCGGUGGAGCAUGUGGUUUAAUUCGACGCAACGCGAAGAACCUUACCUGGAUUUGACAUCCCGAGAAGUCUUUCGAAAGAUAGAUGUGCCCUUCGGGGAACUCGGUGACAAGUGCUGCAUGGCUGUCGUCAGCUCGUGCCGUGAGGUGUUCGGUUAAGUCCGGCAACGAGCGCAACCCGUGUCGUCAGUUGCUAACAGGUAAUGCUGAGGACUCUGGCGAGACUGCCCGUGUCAAGCGGGAGGAAGGCGCGGAUGACGUCAAGUCCUCAUGGCCUUUAUGUCCAGGGCUACACAC
rnacentral:rRNA from 1 species